AGCGAACGCUGGCGGCACGCCUAACACAUGCAAGUCGAACGCCUGUCGCAAGACAGGAGUGGCGGACGGGUGAGUAACGCGUGGGAACCUGCCCCUUGGUUCGGGACAACCCUUGGAAACGAGGGCUGAUACCGGAUAAGGCCUGAGGGCGAAAGAUUUAUCGCCGAGGGAGGGGCCCGCGUCCGAUUAGGUAGUUGGUGGGGUAACGGCCCACCAAGCCUGAGAUCGGUAGCUGGUCUGAAAGGACGGCCAGCCACACUGGGACUGAGACACGGCCCAGACUCCUACGGGAGGCAGCAGUGGGGAAUAUUGGACAAUGGGGGCAACCCUGAUCCAGCGAUGCCGCGUGGACGAUGAAGGCCUUAGGGUUGUAAAGUCCUUUCGCCGGGGACGAUAAUGACGGUACCCGGAGAAGAAGCCACGGCUAACUACGUGCCAGCCGCCGCGGAA
rnacentral:rRNA from 1 species